rnacentral:rRNA from 1 species
GCCAGCAGUGAUAGCAUGUUCAAUGCACAUGCUCCCCAUAUAUCACUGAAGUUAAGCAGCGUUGCCCCUGGUUAGUAUCCGGUUGGGUGACCAUCUGGGCAAUAGCAUGCUGCUAGCU